rnacentral:rRNA from 1 species
GAUGAACGCUGGCGGCGUGCCUAAUACAUGCAAGUCGAGCGAAUGGAUUAAGAGCUUGCUCUUAUGAAGUUAGCGGCGGACGGGUGAGUAACACGUGGGUAACCUGCCCAUAAGACUGGGAUAACUCCGGGAAACCGGGGCUAAUACCGGAUAACAUUUUGAACCGCAUGGUUCGAAAUUGAAAGGCGGCUUCGGCUGUCACUUAUGGAUGGACCCGCGUCGCAUUAGCUAGUUGGGGAGGUAACGGCUCACCAAGGCAACGAGGCGUAGCCGACCUGAGAGGGUGAUCGGACACACUGGGACUGAGACACGGCCCAGACUCCUACGGGAGGCAGCAGUAGGGAAUCUUCCGCAAUGGACGAAAGUCUGACGGAGCAACGCCGCGUGAGUGAUGAAGGCUUUCGGGUCAUAAAACUCUGUUGUUAGGGAAGAACAAGUGCUAGUUGAAUAAGCUGGCACCUUGACGGUACCUAACCAGAAAGCCACGGCUAACUACGUGCCAGCAGCCGCGGUAA